ACGGGUGAGUAACACGUGAGCAACCUGGCUCUAAGAGGGGGACAACAGUUGGAAACGACUGCUAAUACCGCAUAACGUAUCGGGAUGGCAUCUUCCUGAUACCAAAGAUUUUAUCGCUUAGAGAUGGACCCGCGUCUGAUUAGCUAGUUGGUGAGGUAACGGCCCACCAAGGCGACGAUCAGUAGCCGACCUGAGAGGGUGACCGGCCACAUUGGGACUGAGACACGGCCCAAACUCCUACGGGAGGCAGCAGUGGGGAAUAUUGCACAAUGGGGGAAACCCUGAUGCAGCGACGCCGCGUGAAGGAAGAAGUAUUUCGGUAUGUAAACUUCUAUCAGCAGGGAAGAAAAUGACGGUACCUGACUAAGAAGCCCCGGCUAACUACGUGCCAGCAGCCGCGGUAAUACGUAGGGGGCAAGCGUUAUCCGGAUUUACUGGGUGUAAAGGGAGCGUAGGCGGUCUGACAAGUCAGAAGUGAAAGCCCGGGGCUCAACCUCGGGACUGCUUUUGAAACUGCCGGACUAGAUUGCAGGAGGGGUAAGUGGAAUUCCUAGUGUAGCGGUGAAAUGCGUAGAUAUUAGGAGGAACACCAGUGGCGAAGGCGGCUUACUGGACUGUAAAUGACGCUGAGGCUCGAAAG
rnacentral:rRNA from 1 species